rnacentral:rRNA from 1 species
GUGAGGAAUUUUCCGCAAUGGGCGAAAGCCUGACGGAGCAAUGCCGCGUGAAGGAUGAAGGCCUAUGGGUUGUAAACUUCUUUUCUCAGAAAAGAAUUAUGACGGUAUCUGAGGAAUAAGCAUCGGCUAACUCUGUGCCAGCAGCCGCGGUAAGACAGAGGAUGCAAGCGUUAUCCGGAAUGAUUGGGCGUAAAGCGUCUGUAGGUUGUUUAAAAAGUAUUCUGUCAAAGAUUAGGGCUUAACCCUAGAUAGGCAGAAUAAACUUUUAAGAUAGAGUUUGGUAGAGGCAGAGGGAAUGCCCGGUGGAGCGGUGAAAUGCGUAGAUAUCGGGAGGAACACCAAAGGCGAAGGCACUCUGCUGGGCCAAUACUAACACUGAGAGACGAAAGCGAGGGGAGCAAAUGGGAUUAGAUACCCUUGUAGUCC